GAAGCUGUAACCAAAAUGUUUUUAUUCUCCUUCCAGAUUGGUUGUUGUACAUCAUUGUGGCUGUGGGAGUAACAGCACUCUUAGCAGCAAUCAUCAUCGUGGUAGUCAUCAGACGGAAGAAAACUAAAAGGAACAACACGCAGACGAAUGAAAACAUUGGACUGAGUUUGAACCCUGCAGAGACUCAGUCUGCUCCAGAAACCAGUCAGGACAUGGCUGAUCCUGAAGGUGGUGUUUUCUACGCCUCCGUCAGCCACACCAAGAAGACCAGCAGUAAAGCUCAGGCUCGGGGUAAAGAUGCUGAUGCUGAUGAUGAGGCAGUGACCUACAGCACCGUGAAAGCUCCUCCUUCUGCUGCUGCUGCAGCCUCUACUGAUGUCAGCAACCUCUACGCCACCAUCAC